GAUGAACGCUGGCGGCGUGCCUAAUACAUGCCAGUCGAGCGAACAGACGAGGAGCUUGCUCCUCUGACGUUAGCGGCGGACGGGUGAGUAACACGUGGAUAACCUACCUAUAAGACUGGGAUAACUUCGGGAAACCGGAGCUAAUACCGGAUAAUAUAUUGAACCGCAUGGUUCAGUAGUGAAAGACGGUUUUGCUGUCACUUAUAGAUGGAUCCGCGCCGCAUUAGCUAGUUGGUAAGGUAACGGCUUACCAAGGCAACGAUGCGUAGCCGACCUGAGAGGGUGAUCGGCCACACUGGAACUGAGACACGGUCCAGACUCCUACGGGAGGCAGCAGUAGGGAAUCUUCCGCAAUGGGCGAAAGCCUGACGGAGCAACGCCGCGUGAGUGAUGAAGGUCUUCGGAUCGUAAAACUCUGUUAUUAGGGAAGAACAAAUGUGUAAGUAACUAUGCACGUCUUGACGGUACCUAAUCAGAAAGCCACGGCUAACUACGUG
rnacentral:rRNA from 1 species